rnacentral:tRNA from 1 species
AGCCUACUAGCUCAAUUGGUAGAGCAUUAAAUGAUGUGGGUUCGAAUCCCACGUAGGCUC